CCUACGGGCGGCAGCAGUGAGGAAUAUUGGUCAAUGGCCGUAAGGCUGAACCAGCCAAGCAGCGUGAGGGACGACUGCCCCAUGGGUUGUAAACCUCUUUUGUGCAGGGACAAAGGUAUCCACGAGUGGAUGUUCGCAGGUACUGCAUGAAUAAGCACCGGCUAAAUCCGUGCCAGCAGCCGCGGUAAUACGGAAGGUCCGGGCGUUAUCCGGAUUUAUUGGGUUUAAAGGGUGCGUAGGCCGGUCUUUAAGCGUGCCGUGAAAUUUUGUGGCGUAACCAUGGGAGACCGGCGCGAACUGGAGACCUUGAGUGGGCGGAAGGCAGGCGGAAUGCGUGGUGUAGCGGUGAAAUGCUUAGAUAUCACGAAGAACCCCGAUUGCGAAGGCAGCCUGCCGCAGCGUUACUGACGCUGAAGCACGAAAGCGCGGGUAUCGAACAGGAUUAGAUACCCGAGUAGUC
rnacentral:rRNA from 1 species